UACGGGGGAGGCAAGCGUUAUUCAUCUUUACUGGGCGUAAAGGGUGUGUAGAUGGUUAUUUAAGUUUUAAAUAAAAAAAUUAGUAUUUAAUAAGUAUUUAUUAGACUGAAUAUCUAGAGUUUGUAUGAGAUUAUAGUACUCAUAAAGUAGGGGUGAUAUCCGGAGAUAUUGUGGGGACUAACAGAGAUUAAUGUGAUAAUCUAAUAUAUAACUGACAUUGAGACACUACAGUGCGGGUUUCAAAUAGAA
rnacentral:rRNA from 1 species